rnacentral:rRNA from 1 species
UUUGGGGGGCGUGGUUAACACUUGCAAGUCGAACGAUGAUGCCCAGCUUGCUGGGUGGAUUAGUGGCGAACGGGUGAGUAACACGUGAGUAACCUGCCCCUGACUCUGGGAUAAGCGUUGGAAACGACGUCUAAUACUGGAUAUGAUCACCGGCCGCAUGGUCUGGUGGUGGAAAGAUUUUUUGGUUGGGGAUGGACUCGCGGCCUAUCAGCUUGUUGGUGAGGUAAUGGCUCACCAAGGCGACGACGGGUAGCCGGCCUGAGAGGGUGACCGGCCACACUGGGACUGAGACACGGCCCAGACUCCUACGGGAGGCAGCAGUGGGGAAUAUUGCACAAUGGGCGAAAGCCUGAUGCAGCAACGCCGCGUGAGGGAUGACGGCCUUCGGGUUGUAAACCUCUUUUAGUAGGGAAGAAGCGAGAGUGACGGUACCUGCAGAAAAAGCACCGGCUAACUACGUGCCAGCAGCCGCGGUAAUACGUAGGGUGCAAGCGUUGUCCGGAAUUAUUGGGCGUAAAGAGCUCGUAGGCGGUUUGUCGCGUCUGCUGUGAAAUCCCGAGGCUCAACCUCGGGCUUGCAGUGGGUACGGGCAGACUAGAGUGCGGUAGGGGAGAUUGGAAUUCCUGGUGUAGCGGUGGAAUGCGCAGAUAUCAGGAGGAACACCGAUGGCGAAGGCAGAUCUCUGGGCCGUAACUGACGCUGAGGAGCGAAAGCAUGGGGAGCGAACAGGAUUAGAUACCCUGGUAGUCCAUGCCGUAAACGUUGGGCGCUAGAUGUAGGGACCUUUCCACGGUUUCUGUGUCGUAGCUAACGCAUUAAGCGCCCCGCCUGGGGGAGUACGGCCGCAAGGCUAAAACUCAAAGGAAUUGACGGGGGCCCGCACAAGCGGCGGAGCAUGCGGAUUAAUUCGAUGCAACGCGAAGAACCUUACCAAGGCUUGACAUACACCGG